rnacentral:rRNA from 1 species
UACGGAGGGAGCAAGCGUUAUCCGGAAUCACUGGGUUUAAAGGGUGCGUAGGCGGCUUAAUAAGUCAGAGGUGAAAGGCUGUGGCUCAACCAUGGGAUUGCCUUUGAUACUGUUAGGCUUGAAUCAGGCUGAGGUUGGCAGAAUGUGGCAUGUAGCGGUGAAAUGCAUAGAUAUGCCAUAGAAUCCCGAUUGCGAGGGCAGCUGACUGGCCAUUGAUUGACGCUGAGGCACGAAACCGUGGGGAGCGUACAGG